rnacentral:rRNA from 1 species
GACGAACGCUGGCGGCAGGCCUAACACAUGCAAGUCGAGCGAGGACUUCGGUCCUAGCGGCGGACGGGUGAGUAACGCGUGGGAAUAUGCCCAAAGGUACGGAAUAGCCUCGGGAAACUGGGAGUAAUACCGUAUGUGCCCUUCGGGGGAAAGAUUUAUCGCCUUUUGGAUUAGCCCGCGUUGGAUUAGGUAGUUGGUGGGGUAAUGGCCUACCCAGGCCGACGAUCCAUAGCUGGUUUGAGAGGAUGAUCAGCCACACUGGGACUGAGACACGGCCCAGACUCCUACGGGAGGCAGCAGUGGGGAAUAUUGCACAAUGGGGGAAACCCUGAUCCAGCCAUGCCGCGUGAGCGAUGAAGGCCUUAGGGUUGUAAAGCUCUUUCAGUGGGGAAGAUAAUGACGGUACCCACAGAAGAAGCCCCGGCUAACUCCGUG